rnacentral:rRNA from 1 species
ACCUGACCCCAUGCCGAACUCAGAAGUGAAACGCCGUAGCGCCGAUGGUAGUGUGGGGUCUCCCCAUGUGAGAGUAGGGAAUCGCCAGGC